rnacentral:rRNA from 1 species
GACGAACGCUGGCGGCGUGCUUAACACAUGCAAGUCGAACGGAAAGGCCCCUUUGGGGGUACUCGAGUGGCGAACGGGUGAGUAACACGUGAGUAACCUGCCCUUGACUUCGGGAUAACUUCAGGAAACUGGGGCUAAUACCGGAUAGGAAUCCUUGCUGCAUGGUGGGGGUUGGAAAGCUUCGGCGGUUUUGGAUGGACUCGCGGCUUAUCAGCUUGGUGGUGGGGUAGUGGCUUACCAAGGCUUUGACGGGUAGCCGGCCUGAGAGGGCGACCGGCCACAUUGGGACUGAGAUACGGCCCAGACUCCUACGGGAGGCAGCAGUGGGGAAUAUUGCACAAGGGGCGGAAGCCUGAUGCAGCAACGCCGCGUGCGGGAGGACGGCCUUCGGGUUGGAAACCGCUUUCAGCAGGGGCGAAGCUUGUGGUGACGGUACCUGCAGAAGAAGCACCGGCUAACUACGUG